rnacentral:lncRNA from 1 species
GUAAGAGGCUGACCCUCCCAGGACUCUUCCGACUUCCGACCUUGUGCGGCAUCUUUUUGAACUCCCCCGACUAUCCGAGCUUCCAUAAUAUCAUCUGGACUUCUCCAAUAAUGAGCUCCUCCAUUCAUCUAUCGGACUGCUCCAAAUGCUCUCCGGACUUCACUACCAGUCGAUUUUCUACAGUGAUCGACUACUCUCCGAAUCUCUUUCAGACUUCUUCUAGUCACGAUCGACUUUACUCCGAACUUCUUUCAAACUUCGUCAAUGACCGAACUUCUCCAGCAGCAGGACUUCUACAGUAACCAGACUCCAUCCAAGUUUCUACGGUGGUCGACCGCCUUCCGAAUUUCAUCCGAGCUCCUACAAGAGCCGGACUCCGUUCAAACUCCUACAACGGAUGGGCUCCACCAGUCGGAUUUCUACUCUGAACUUCUACUGCAAGCAGGCUUCAUCCGAGCUUCUACAGUAAGUGGUCUCCAUCCGGGCUUCCACGGCAAUCGAUC